rfam:Sporothrix insectorum RCEF 264 scaffold_26, whole genome shotgun sequence.
AAAGGGGUAGUAUAAUAAUUAAACACUUAAAAGACGCCGUAACGCCGCGACGUCGUAGGUUCGAAUCCUACCCCUUUUA